AAAAUCUUUUUAGCACCCAUUUAAGCCCUUCCUUCCAUCAAGGUAUAUACUUGUGUUAACAUUUGUUUUGCAUUGAAAAAUGAGGCAAAAAAACACAUUUUAGCCACAAAUAAAUACCAGCUUACUUUGCACUUUUCGACAAAGCUGAUUUCUACACUGUGAAAAAUAAAUGUGCAAGGGCUCUAUUUUAUUCCUUCUGUUUUCUGCUGAAGAACUGCAAAUGGCAAUAUGCUCCCCUUCCUCCUUAUCUUAGGCUGCGUAUAGGCAUGUUGGGUGAGGAGGUCAGUUAGUGCUCUGAGCAGACUAAGCACACCAUGUUGCAGACUGCAAUAUCCUCUAGCAACACAAU